rnacentral:rRNA from 1 species
UACGUAGGGGGCAAGCGUUGUCCGGAUUUAUUGGGCGUAAAGAGCGUGUAGGCGGCUUGGUAAGUCCGUUCUGAAAGCCCGGGGCUCAACCCCGGGAGGCGGAUGGAUACUGUCAAGCUUGAGUCCGGAAGAGGCGAGUGGAAUUCCCGGUGUAGCGGUGAAAUGCGCAGAUAUCGGGAGGAACACCAAUGGCGAAGGCAGCUCGCUGGGACGUGACUGACGCUGAGACGCGAAAGCGUGGGGAGCAAACAGG